UACGAAGGGGGGCUAGCGUUGCUCGGAAUUACUGGGCGUAAAGCGCACGUAGGCGGCUUUCUAAGUCGGGGGGUGAAAUCCUGGAGCUCAACUCCAGAACUGCCCUUUGAUACUGUCGGUCUAGAGUAUGGAAGAGGUGAGUGGAAUUCCGAGUGUAGAGGGUGAAAUUUCGUAGAUAUUCGGAGGAACACCAGUGGCGAAGGCGGCCUUCUGGACUGACACUGACGCUGAGGCGCGAAAGCCAGGGGAGCAA
rnacentral:rRNA from 1 species